rnacentral:rRNA from 1 species
UACGUAGGGGUGCAAGCGUUGUCCGGAAUUAUUGGGCGUAAAGGAGCUCGUAGGCGGCUUUGUCGCGUCUGACCUGUGAAAACUCGGGGCUUAACCCCGGGCCUGCAGUGGGUACGGGCAGACUAGAGGUGCGGUAGGGGAGACUGGAAUUCCUGGUGGUAGCGGUGAAAUGCGCAGAUAUCAGGAGGAACACCGGUGGCGAAGGCGGGUCCCUGGCCGUAACUGACGCUGAGGAGCGAAA